GCAGACAUUCCACACAAAGCUAAUCGCGUCUUUUUCCCUUUCGGGGGCCGCUAAAAAUACAGUUUCACACUUGGGAUGCCAUUUCUUGAAACACCGGAUACGACAAAAAGUUGGCUAUUUAUGGAUUGGCCUCACUGUGACGGUGAUGUCAGCAAACAAGAGUUUGACAGCGGAUGGAGACAGAUACAACUGGAACGCAUAUUUUAGUGACUAAGUCUUCAAUUAGUUUAAAAUCUCAUGCUAUUGUAAAUUAUUGAUGCAUUUUGUUACUGAGUGAAAAUAAAUGUAUUUCUAGACAACCAAA
rnacentral:sRNA from 1 species